UACAUACAUAUGUACACAUGUAUUCAAAUGUUAUGAAAAGGACUCUUUACUUUGAAGUAUUGAACUGUUCUUAAAUUCAUAUAAUACAUUUGUAUGUAUAGCGGCAUACACAUAUGCAUGAAUGUACAUGCAUUUGGACUUACACUCACAUGCACAGGUAUGUAAGUUGUAUAGCUUGUAUAGCAACUGCUCAUACCGAAAGACCAAAAAAAAUGCAGCGAAAAUCGGAUGGAUCGGAUCGGACGGAGGGAAAUUGCGUUUGAUGCCAUCGUUUUGGCAAUACAUAUUUAAAAUAUAUUUAUAUAAAUUCGAACUCAUAAAAACUAUACUCUCUAACAUUACGGAAAAUCGACGUCAUACUCUAUCAAAGUUAAAUUGUAAAUACUACGUAGGGUUCAAACGUACUUGGCAGGAAUAAGCAGGAAGUCAAAUUUUAUAAACCGUGUUUAGAUCCCUUUUAACAUACACAUGUAUGUAUGUAUGCAUAUGUAGCAUCCGCAUUGUUAAUUUGUAACUUUUUAAACAUUGAAAUGUUUAUUUUCUUUACCUUUCUAUUCGCAAUUCUUCGCCAAGAAUGCCAAAAGUAUGACCCAUUACCAAGCACUUUCAUUCAAGCGAAGUCCAAUUUUUGGUGAUAACCGAUAUUAGUCGCGGUUUAAUUGAUUUGCUAAUGUGAAAGACAACAAGCCUUCGUGAAGCUUACAAAAUUCAUUAGUUACUAUUUACAUACAUAUGUAUAUGUAAAUAACUCAAGGUAAAAAGUACAUAUCACUGGCUUAGAGUUAAAAGUUACGAAGUCCAUUUAAACAAAUUUUACAAGAAAGAACAAUCUUAUUGUAUCCAUUUUUUCAAGCAUAUCACACGACUUUGAAUGCAACAUUUUGAGUCUUUAGAGCAAAGCAAAACUUCCUUUCCCGCGCUUUUUUGGAACGGAUGGAAAUAAAACAAGUACCCUUUGAAAACGAUGCAUUUUCAUUGGUAAAUUAUGGAUAGCAACACAACCUUAGUUGAGGUUGCCAAUGGGCAACGCCACUGAAAUGAAAACGUAUGUAUAUUAUAAAUAGCAACUACAGUUAAGUGCUAUAAAGUUGAAGAUACCAGAAUUUUGAUGUACCAGCAAUCAAGGCUUUAGUGAAAACCAGCUGCAGAAGCAAUUGAAAAAAAAAAAAACAGAUUUUUAUCCGCGACAACCACAAAAAUGAAGUUGCCAAUAUAUAAAUUUAGCAACUCCAGCCAGCCAGCUUCCAAUUAGUUGCUAGUUUUCAUCUGUAAUACCUUAUCAGCACAAUAAUUUCUCUUGCCUCCUGCUUAGCAACUUUUAACUCUAAGCUAGUGGUGUACAUAUUUACUUAAUUAAUUUGCUAUACAAAUCGCAUAACAAUUAAGCUUUGUUUUAAAGUUAAAUAAUUACAAACUAACAAUCUGCAAUAUUAAACUUUUAAUCAGAUAAAUUUUACAUUAAGACUUUCUCAUUAGCACAUCAACAACAUACGUACAUAUGUACCUACAUUAAUAAUUUCAGCGAAAAAAAAAAUGCGUCAGCGUUUUCAAUUUGCAAAACACCUUUUCUACUAAAGAGCAACUAAAGUCUGACAGCUGAAAUUGAGACAAUUUUCCAAAAGUACGUACACACACAUAAAAA
rnacentral:lncRNA from 1 species